GGUUCCAUAGUGUAGCGGUUAGCACGCCUGCCUCAGAAGCAGAGAGUCCUGCGUUCGAUUCCCAGAGGAACCA